AGGACGAACGCUGGCGGCGUGCUUAACACAUGCAAGUCGAGCGGUAAGGCCCUUUCGGGGGUACACGAGCGGCGAACGGGUGAGUAACACGCGAGCAAUCUGCCCUUCACUUCGGGAUAAGCCCCGGAAACGGGGUCUAAUACCGGAUAUGACUGCGCCAUGCAUGUGGUGUGGUGGAAAGUUCUGGCGGUGAGGGAUGAGCUCGCGGCCUAUCAGCUU
rnacentral:rRNA from 1 species